CCUACGGGAGGCAGCAGUCGAGAAUCAUUCACAAUGGGGGAAACCCUGAUGGUGCGACGCCGCGUGGGGGAAUGAAGGUCUUCGGAUUGUAAACCCCUGUCAUGUGGGAGCAAAUUAAAAAGAUAGUACCACAAGAGGAAGAGACGGCUAACUCUGUGCCAGCAGCCGCGGUAAUACAGAGGUCUCAAGCGUUGUUCGGAAUCACGGGGCGUAAAGCGUGCGUAGGCUGUUUCGUAAGUCGUGUGUGAAAGGCGCGGGCUCAACCCGCGGACGGCACAUGAUACUGCGAGACUAGAGUAAGGGAGGGGGAACCGGAAUUCUCGGUGUAGGAGUGAAAUGCGUAGAUAUCGAGAGGAACACUCGUGGCGAAGGCGGGUUCCUGGACAUUAACUGACGCUGAGGCACGAAGGCCAGGGGAGCGAAAGGGAUUAGAUACCCUUGUAGUC
rnacentral:rRNA from 1 species